rnacentral:lncRNA from 1 species
ACGAGAAAAGAGAGAGAAAUAAAUGGACAAAGAUAAAGAAAGAGAGAAAACUCAAGACUCCAGUUGUAUUUUUUACAAGUUUUAUUCUCCGCUGAAGAAACAAACAGCCUUGUAUCUUCCACCCUCUUGACCUUAACCUGGUUCCAGAUCUGGUCCUGUUAUCAUAAACCUGGUCCCAGAUCUGGUCCUGUUAUCAUAAACCUGGUUCCAGAUCUGGUCCUGUUAUCAUAAACCUGGUUCCAGAUCUGGUCCUGUUAUCAUAAACCUGGUUCCAGAUCUGGUCCUGUUGUCAUUGACCUGGUCCCAGAUCUGGUCCUGUUGUCAUUGACCUGGUCCCAGAUCUGGUCCUGUUGUCAUUGACCUGGUUCCAGAUCUGGUCCUGUAGACAUUGACCUGGUCCCAGAUCUGGUCCUGUUGUCAUUGACAUAAACCUGGUUCCAGAUCUGGUUCUGUUGACAUAAACCUGGUUCCAGAUCUGGUCCUGUUGUCAUUGACCUUAGCCUGGUUCCAGAUAAGGUCGUGCCGUCUCCGACAAGGCAUUGUCUUACAUCAGAUAGUGCGAUGAUUCUGUCUGCAUUGACUGGUUGAGGACUGCAUGUCGUCUAGGAAUGAAGCCACCUGCCGCAGGACAAUGGCAACAAGAAGUUGUCAUGACAGCAUACACAGGUCUGGGACCAGACUAAGUUAAAGCCUGGUGUCAACCACCCUGUUUCCCUCUGAAAGCACAAACAGGUCUGGGACCAGACUAAGUUAAAGCCUGGUGUCAACCACCCUGUUUCCCUCUGAAAGCACAAACAGGUCUGGGACCAGACUAAGUUAAAGCCUGGUGUCAACCACCCUGUUUCCCUCUGAAAGCACAAACAGGUCUGGGACCAGACUAAGUUAAAGCCUGGUGUCAACUACCCUGUUGUCCUCUGA